rnacentral:rRNA from 1 species
AGUGAACGCUGGCGGUAGGCCUAACACAUGCAAGUCGAACGGCAGCACAGUAAGAGCUUGCCCUUACGGGUGGCGAGUGGCGGACGGGUGAGGAUACAUCGGAAUCUACUUUUUCGUGGGGGAUAACGGAGGGAAACUUACGCUAAUACCGCAUACGUCCUACGGGUGAAAGCAAGAGAUCUUAGGACCUUCCGCGAUUGAUUGUGCCGAUGUCGGAUUAGCUAGUUGGCGGGGUAAAGGCCCACCAAGGCGACGAUCCGUAGCCGACCUGAGAGGGUGAUCAGCCACACUGGAACUGAGACACGGUCCAGACUCCUACGGGAGGCAGCAGUAGGGAAUAUUGCGCAAUGGGCGCAAGCCUGACCCAGCCAUACCGCGUGAGUGAAGAAGGCCUUCGGGUCGUAAAGCCCUUUUGUUAGGAAAGAAAAGCAGCAGAUUAAUAUCCGGCUGUUCUGACGGUACCCAAACAAUAAGCACCGGCUAACUUCGUG